rnacentral:lncRNA from 1 species
GACGAACUUGGCGCCUCGGCCUUCGGGUGGUUAUUUUUGGGCGCCGCUUUGGCCGCGGCCUAUUUCUGGCACACGAAGGCCCCUCGCAAAGUCUCUCGGCAUUCCGAGUCCGGCGGACGAAGUUGGCCAGCCCCACCGCCCAAGGCUAUAGCCCACCCGUUUUUGUGGCCUUUUUCCGCUGGACGAACUUGGCGGCCCGGCCUUCGGGAGUUUAUUUUUGGGUGCGGCUUUGCUCGCGGCCUAUUUUUGGCACACGGAGGCCCCUCGCAAAGUCUCGCGCCAUUCCGAGUCCGGCGGACGAAGUUGGCCAGCCCCACCCCCCAAGGCUAUAGCCCACCCGUUUUUGUGGCCUUUUUCCGCUGGACGAACUUGGCGCCCCGGCCUUCGGGUGGUUAAUUUUGGGUGCGGCUUUGCCCGCGGCCUAUUUUUCAAGCACGGAGGCCCCUCGCAAAGUCUCGCGGCAUUCCGAGUCCGGCGGACGAAGUUGGCCAGCCCCACCCCCCAAGGCUAUAGCCCGCCCGUUUUUGUGGCCUUUUACCGCUGGACGAACUUGGCGCCCCGGCCGUCGGGUGGUUAUUUUUGGGCGCGGCUUUGCCAGCAGCCUAUUUUUGGCACACGGAGGCCCCUCGUAAAGUCUCACGGCAUUCCGAGUCUGGCGGACGAAGUUGGCCAGCCCCAACCCCCAAGGCUAUAGCCCACCCGUUUUUGUAGCCUUUUUCCGCUAGACGAACUUGGCGCCCCGGAACUUGCUGCUGCUACCUAUCUAUAAAAUGCACUACAAAAUUUUAUCACUAGAUAACAUAAAAUUUUGAACCACCAACCUUUUAAACAUCCCACGGCCUAUUUUUGGCACGCGGAGGCCCCUCGUAAAGUCUCGCGGCAUUCCGAGUCCGGCGGACGAAGUUGGCAAGCAUCACCCCCCAAGGCUAUAGCCCACCCGUUUUUGUGGCCUUUGUCCGCUGGACGAACUUGGCGCCCCGGCCGUCGGGUGGUUAUUUUUGGGCGCGGCUUUACCCGCGGCCUAUUUUUGGCACACGGAGGCCCCUCGCAAAGUCUCGCGGCAUUCCGAGUCCGGCGGACGAAGUUGGCCAGCCCCACCCCCCAAGGCAAUAGCCCACCUGUUUUUGUGGCCUUUUUCUGCUGGAGGAACUUGGCGCCCCAGCCUUCGUGCUGUUAAUUUUGGGCGCGGCUUUGUCCGCGGCCUAUUUUUGGCACACGGAGGCCCCUCGCAAAGUCUCGCGGCAUUCUGAGUCCGGCGGACGAAUUGUGGCCAGCCCCACCACCCAAGGCUAUAGCCCACCCUUUUUUGUGGCCUUUUUCCGCUGGACAAUCUUGGCCCCCCGGCCUUCGGGCGGUUAUUUUUGGGCACGGCUUUCCCCGCGGCCUAUUUUAGGCACACGGAGACACCUCGCAAAGUCUCGCGGCAUUCCAAGUCCGGCGGACAAAAUUGGCCAGCUCCACCCCCCAGGGUUAUAGCCCACCCAUUAUGGUGGCCUUUUUUCCACUGACGAAACUUGGCGCACCGGCUUUCGGGCAGUUAUUUUUGGGCGAGGAUUUUCGCGCGGCGUAUUUUUGGCACACGGACGCCCCUCGCAAAUUCUUGCGGCAUUCCGAGUCCGGCGGACAGGUGGGCCAGCCCCACCCCCAAGACUAUAGCCCACCCGUUUUUGUGCCCUUUUUCCGCUGGACAAACUUGGCGCCCCGGCCUUCGGGUGGUUAAUUUUGGGCGCGGCUUUGCCCACAGCCUAUUUUUGACACACGGAUGCCCCUCGCAAAGUCUCGCGGCAUUCCGAGUCCGGCGGACGAAGUUGGCCAGCAUCACCCCCCAAGGCUAUAGCCCACCCGUUUUUGUGGCCUUUGUCCGCUGGACGAACUUGGCGCCCCGGCCUUCGGGCGGUUAAUUUUGGGCGCGGCUUUGGCCGUGGCCUAUUUUUGGCACACGGAGGCCCCUCGCAAAGUCUCGCGGCAUUCCGAGUCCGGCGGACGAAGUUGGCCAGCAUCACCCCCCAAGGCUAUAGCGCACCCGUUUUUGUGGCCUUUUUGCGCUGGACGAACUUGGCGCCCUGGCCGUCGGGUGGUUAUUUUUUGGCGCGGCUUUGCCUGCGGCCUAUUUUUGGCACACAGAGGCCCCUCGCAAAGUCUCGUAGGAUUCCAAGUCCGGCGGACGAAGUUGGCCAGCCCCACCCGCCAAGGCUAUAGCCCACCCGUUUUUGUGGCCUUUUUCCGCUGGACGAACUUGGCGCCCCGGCNNN